GAUGAAGAACGUAGCGAAAUGCGAUAAGUAAUGUGAAUUGCAGAAUUCAGUGAAUCAUCGAAUCUUUGAACGCACAUUGCGCCCCCUGGUAUUCCGGGGGGCAUGCCUGUCCGAGCGUCAUUACAACCCUCAAGCUCAGCUUGGUGUUGGGCCCCGCCGCCCCGGCGGGCCCUAAAGUCAGUGGCGGUGCCGUCCGGCUCCGAGCGUAGUAAUUCUUCUCGCUCUGGAGGUCCGGUCGUGUGCUCGCCAGCAACCCCCAAUUUUUUUCAGGUUGACCUCGGAUCAGGUAGGGAUACCCGCUGAACUUAAGCUUAUCAAUAAGCGGAGGA
rnacentral:misc_RNA from 1 species